CCUACGGGCGACAGCAGUGAGGAAUAUUGGUCAAUGGACGAGAGUCUGAACCAGCCAAGUAGCGUGAAGGAUGACUGCCCUAUGGGUUGUAAACUUCUUUUAUAAAGGAAUAAAACGAGGCACGUGUGCCUGUUUGCAUGUCCUUUAUGAAUAAGGAUCGGCUAACUCCGUGCCAGCAGCCGCGGUAAUACGGAGGAUCCGAGCGUUAUCCGGAUUUAUUGGGUUUAAAGGGAGCGUAGAUGGGUUGAUAAGUCAGUUGUGAACGUUUGCGGCUCAACCGAAAAAUUGCAAUUGAUACUGGCCGUCUUGAUGACAGUUGAGGUAGGCGGAAUUCGUGGAGUAGCGGUGAAAUGCAGAGAUAUCACGCAGAACCCCGAUUGCGAAGGCAGAAUACCGGCGCCCAACUGACGCGGGGGCACGAAAGUGCGGGUAUCAAACAGGAUUAGAUACCCGAGUAGUC
rnacentral:rRNA from 1 species